rnacentral:tRNA from 1 species
GAGGGUAUAGCUCAGUGGCAGAGUGCGUGCUUAGCAUGCAUGAGGUCCUGGGUUUGGUCCCCAGUACCGGUA